GCUAGCCUCGAAAGUGUAGUCAAAAGUGACUCAAGUUGUCGAACAAAGAGUGUACUUUAUUCGAGGACUCCAGAGAAGGAGUCAAGCCUCGAUUAAGGGGAGGGUGUUCAAGGACUCCAUAGGCCUUGGGAGAGGCUCUAUAGUGUACUUUGUUCGAGGGGGAGGAUUGUUGGGAGGGAGUCCCACAUCGACUAAUUUAGGAAAUG